UGGACCAUAGGCGCAACGGAAACGCGCCUGACUACGGUUCAGGAGAUUUCUGGUUCGAAUUCUGGCUGGCUCAG